GACGAACGCUGGCGGCGUGCUUAACACAUGCAAGACGAGCGGAAAGGCCCUUUUGGGGUACUCGAGCGGCGAACGGGUGAGUAACACGGGAGUAAUCUGCCCUUCACUUUGGGAUAGCCACCGGAAACGGUGAUUAAUACCGGAUACGACGCACUCGGGCAUUCGAUGUGUGUGGAAACUUUUUGGGUGGGGGAUGUGCUCGCGGCCUAUCAGCUUGUUGGUGGGGUAAUGGCCUACCAAGGCUUUGACGGGGAGCCGGCUUGAGAGGGUGGCCGGCCACACUGGGACUGAGACACGGCCCAGACUCCUACGGGAGGCAGCAGUGGGGAAUAUUGGACAAUGGGCGGAAGCCUGAUCCAGCAACGCCGCGUGAGGGAUGACGGCCUUCGGGUUGUAAACCUCUUUCAGCACCGACGAAGCGCAAGUGACGGUAGGUGCAGAAGAAGGACCGGCCAACUACGUGCCAGCCGCCGCCGUAACAC
rnacentral:rRNA from 1 species